rnacentral:rRNA from 1 species
AUGGAGAUGUUGUCAGUGUUAGGCGAAGAUGGAGCAGUUAAGUUCUCCACUAGCAAGCAAAUGGGAGCGAGUGAGGGGGCACUUACACCAGGGAAGGAUCUUCCAGCGCUGGUUGUCGCCCUCGCACCACUUCCACAGCACGAGGGAGGUGCCGUCGCGCACGCCGCCGUGCUCCUUGUCGCCGUGGAGAGCGUCAAAGUUGAGGCGGAUGUUGUUCACCAUGCGAAUGCAGCGGAAGCCCUUGCCGACGUCGCUGCUCUCCGUCCACAUCACGGACUCGUCGAGGUACUCCGGGUUGAAUGGCACGAGCUUCACCGGUGGGACUGGCCGAGCGAGUGCUUGACGGCGAGGCCAGUGGCCUUGUUGACGAUGGCAAAGGCGGGGUUGCCCUCCUCGUCCUUGAUCUGGCUGCUGAAGCGCAUGUCCUUGAACCAGUGCUGGUGCUCGUCGCGGGGGUUGGAGGGGGCGAGGACGACGUUGCCGUCGCGGACGGAGAGGCAGUAG